rnacentral:lncRNA from 1 species
GGGAGAGGCUGUGUACUGAGUCCCUGCCCAGUGGGUACACAGUCACACAGCGAUGCACUGUCGGUUGUUAUCCAUUGCCUGGGGCAACACUGCUGUUGAAUUGCUGAUGGUGGCUGGUCCUGACAGAGAGUGAAGACCUGCAGUGUUUGGAUUCUUAGGAAGCCCAUUACCAUCUGGGAGCAGGAGGCUCCGGGACAUAAGAGGAGGGACAUUAAGAAGAAGGGAUGACAAAGAUAAAGAGGCAACUUUGGAACAAGUUGACUGUGAAGACUCUGUGAAAAUGUCUACAUGAAAUGUCUUGUAAGCAGUUCAGUGUACUGAUCUGGAGCUCAAGAGAGAAAACAGACCUGGAGAUUCAGGCUGGGAACCCAGAGCCUCAUAUAUUGCAAGCUGUAAGAGUGAUGAGCUGAGACCCUGCUUAGAAAGACACCAACACAGAAGAUGGUCUUGGGAUGGAGACAACGUCCCACUAUUACUUGCUAUGAUGGUUCAAUACUCCUCAAUUUUCCUAAACCCUGCCCUCGCCUUUAGCCUUCUCCUUCAGCCUGGAUCCUGGAGUGAGAGCAGAGAUGCAGAGCUGAACCACCUGCAGGCUGGAGCAGUCAUUGCAGGCAAUCUCAGACCCAGGAGCAAGAUAUCUUUGUUUUAUGAGUCAAGAGAUCUGGGAGUUGUUAACUACACAGUAUUAUUGCAGCAAAAGCUGACUAAUACAGAAAUUAGUCCCUAAAAAUGUGUUGCUGCUGUGAUAAAAACUUAAAAUAUGUAUUCCUGGCCUUGGGACUGAACGGCAGGCAGCAAGAAAGUGUUGGGGACUAGAAAAAUGAUGAUCCAUAUUAUAUAGUAGCAAAUUUUGGUAAAACUGUCACCUGUGAUAACACGAAGACAGAAAACACACCUCAUAAAUGUGUGGUUUGGGGUGAAGAGAUUUCAAGACAAACUGUUAACAGCAAGAAAGAAUUGACCUGCUUGCAAGCAGGGAUGAAAGAGUCAAGAGUGACUCCAGAAAUUCUAGGACUUGCAAAUUUGAAAAAUAGAACUGCUUCUCGUCUUCAAAGUGUUAAAUAAAAAUGGCAAGUAAUAGGAUAUAUUGGAAUAUAUGAGGAAGCCAUUUUGGUGUAAACCUAAUUCGGCCUGACCUUGUCUUUCCUAAAGGGCCUGACCGAGGCCAUUGAGCAUGCAUUGUAUAUCUGCUUUAGAGAUUCCCUAUGGCAAGAGCAAAAGGCCCUUGAGAUAAAGGUGCAACUUCCCUCCCCCUCCCAACAUUGGCAUCUCCUUAAGGAUUAAGCAUCUUUCCUUAGGCUAGAAACUGAUUUCUGCG